GAACGCACAUUGCGCCUUCCGGUAUUCCGGAAGGCAUGCCUGUUCGAGAGUCAUUAACAACCGUUUCGAUCCCUUUUUUCAGAAGUUGAGAAGAGAAAAGGGGUUGGUUAUGGUGGAGGAGGGAAAGAGAGCGUUUAGCCUGUAAAAAAAGGCUGUGUUCCGCCUCCCCCCCAAAAUUGUAUAGGCGGUUGUGUGCGCCCAUGCAUCGAGGUGUUGUAAAAGCUGCCACGGCACUUUUCACCUGUGCAGUGCGAGAUUGGCCAGCCGGUUUAAAAACCCCCCCAAACAAUCAAUGGUUGACCUCGGAUCAGGUAGGGAUACCCGCUGAACUUA
rnacentral:misc_RNA from 1 species